UGAUUGCUUGCAUUGCGCGCAUAUGGU
rnacentral:sRNA from 1 species